UUCUGUUGUGUCUCUUCUGGUCGCAGCUCUCGGGAGAGUCACCAGCUUCAGGUUUGAGCAUGAAGAACUUGUCUGCAGAUCUCUCACCAGCCUGGAUACAUGGAGGUAUUUAUUCCUGCUCACAUCCUGGAGGAAAAUUUUUCCCUUUACUGAAUUUCAACUAUUUGCAGCCCAGCUUGAAGUCCAUGAUCUGAACUUUGUGCUGGAGUCUUUGUGAUCUGUUAGAAAAAUUGAUUGCUUUGAAACAUUGUGCUAAGCUACCACCAAAUGCUUUUUUCUCUGUUCCUGGGAACCCUGCUUCUCUGGCUGCAUGGGAGAAACAACAUCAUAAAAUGCCCUCUGCCAGCAAGUAGGAAAUAUAGAAAUAUAUGACACAGAAAGCAAGGAGCUAUAUAUGGCCGAACCCAAAUGCAGUUCUGAGAGGAGAUUUUGCACUAGAGGACAGAGACAGACUGGGGUGGGGAAACCGAGGCACAGAGAUUAACCCAGCUGCCAAAUCACCCAAGGAGGCUGUAUCACAGCAUCAGCCUCCUGAGCUCAUACAGGGCUUCAGCAGCAUGGUGAGAGUGGAGCUAGCACCACCUGCAUGUACUCGCUGCUUUCUGUAUGCACAUUGCUGGGAGGUUUCUGCCAGGUUUGGAGCUCCACCAGUCCACGCUCUGCUCUAAGCCGGAGCUGGUGCCAGACAGCUUCUGGGCAGCCAGAGCACAAGGAGAAAAUCCCAGAAUUGUAAAGAGAUUAUAACAGAAAUAGAAACUGAGCCACUCUACAACAGCAAGCAGUGUCCCAUCACAAAAGCACCAGAUGCACAGGAAUUUCUGUGGGCAAUGGCAAGAAGGAUGCACAAUUUUGGAAAACAGAAAAAUACCAGUACUGUCUUCCCUUGAUGUCACUCCAUCCUUCCCACAUCGUUGCCUGCUUUGUACCAGCAAUGUCCCUGGCAGAUAAUCCUCGCCCCAAGAAGCAAUUCCUUCUCCUCAGCGCUGCAAGCAGCGCUUUUCAGCUGUGGCAGCAUCCCGUAACCAAGCAACAAGCAGCAUCCCCAAACAAGAAAUCCAGGUGUGCAGGAGAAAGCCCUGGCUGUGUGUGUUAUAGUGCAAUCCAGUGAAAAUUGCUGCAUCACGCUUACUUCUCCUUCGUGGUAAGAUUAAAAAAAAAAACAACCUGCCGUCUGUCAUGUCUUGAAAACAACCCCGUACUCUGAGAUGUAAAGGGGAUAGCUGCCUCUUUUUGCAUCAGCCAUCGGCGGAGUUGGUCCUGGCUUGGUCUGGACACUUCCAGAGGAGUUAUACAGGCUGAGAGCAUCGCUCAGACUUGCAUCUGCUGCAGGUGGCAGAGGACAUCAUUAGGACGUGAGUGGAAAUGCCUUUUGCCCUGAGGUUCAGCCCCACCUUGGAAAAGCCAAAGAGGGCAAAGCAAGGCUGUGAAAGCAUCGUGAGCCAGGGCAGUGCUACAGCACCACACCUGGCAGUACUCUGGGACCAUUGCUCUCAAAUACUGAAAUCUUCUAUGUUAGAAAGAAUUACUACUACACUUAUAGUCAUGGGUCUUGGUGGAAAUUGGUUGUUUAAUUUUUUCUGGUUUUGUAUUUUGGCCCUUCUACUUAAAGUAUUUUCUUCUGUUUGGCAAGUGGCAGUGCCAAUCUACGUGGCUGUGUCUAAAUAAUCCCCUUCCAAUUUAUUUUUUUCCUGCUCCCUUCUUGCUUGCCAUCUCCCACAUACGCUACCUCGACUGAAUGGGCUGAAGCACAAUUUCUUUUUAAUAGGCUUGUGAUUUUUAGCUGGUGUCUGAGUUAUGGCCUAACAUGCAUUUCAUUAUGAAAGACAUAAUAACCUUUUCAUAUACUCUGCAUUCUGUUUUUAACACACUUAUUAAUGAGAAAACAAAGUUCAUUGUGUUAAUGGAGUAACAGCACCUAAUGGGCAGAAUCACUUGUGUAACCGCCUGGACUGAUAGCUCAGCAAGGCUACUGUAACCAACAAAUAAUAAAUGUAUAAUGAGCCAUUUCUGUACCUCAAAUCAGGCUCGUCUGACUUAUUCUGGAGAAGAUAUUCAGGAUGUUAUUAGUAAGAGCUUGGUGCAAGGCUGUGUAAGAAGACAAUUAGAGGCGCGCAGUCUUCUGUGGAGUUAUAUUUAGAAAUUCUCCAGGAGUAUAUUACUGACUGCAAUCAAUAAGCAGGAUGACCAAUAAGCCAGCAAUAUUUAAAGAAGACACUGCAUCAACAGACUCUGCAGUCAGGCAGGGAUUACUUGUUCAGUUGUGUACCUGAGUGUGCGAACAAAAAUCUUUGCUAAAAAACAUGCUUGACAUGAAGUUCAGUCAGCAGAGUACGUCAAAUAGCACUGCUCACCCAGAAAAUGAAUCAAUGCAAAACAUCAUUUGAAAAAACACGUCUAAUGCAAGUGCGACACAGAGAGGGAAACACCGGAUACCCACUAGCUCACUGAACGCAGCGUGAUUUUGAUGCUCCAUUUAGCAGCUGUGCUGGGAAGGGGAGAAGCCAUCCAGCAGAUGUGAAGCAAGGGGACAAGGGGCAGUCCACAUGCAUGUCCUACUCCUGCGUGACAGCCCUCUUGAAUUUAGAGGCAGCAGAUUCCCAUCAAUGAUGAUAAUCUGUGACUGCAUUGAAGAACCACUAGGGUCAUUGCAGAGGCAGGCUGGCCUUGAGGGAUGGAGGGAAACCUCAUCUUAAAUUUUUGACCUGAGAGUGAGCAAAAGCUUUCUAUCCCCUUGGGGACCUGCCAGGCCCCUCCAUGCCACCUCCAGCUUCCCAGAGCACAUCGUGUCUGCUGGUCAAGACUAUCCUCGUGCCACAUUCCCCCUCCUCGAGAUCUGCAGACAAGAAGCUCUUCAUAUGACAGCUGUGGUGGACCUCCCUGGGGCUGUGCCAGGCUGGCUCGACCAGCGUCGGUGUGGCUGAGGUGGAGAAGAGGCAGACUUCCCAAUGAGGGCAAGAAAGAAAUCCUGCCUGGCGAGGAACUUCAGCCACGUGGGCUUUGCAAGUUGUUCUGACAUUUCUAACCUUUUAGCCAAACUGGCUUUCCUCAAAAAUAGUACCGAGAGCCUGAGUUGCUUCUAGUAGCACCCGACGCAGCUGCACAUCUCGAGAGCUGCUGCUGGCAGGGUGGCCCGUGGUGGAUCUGUGCCAGGAUCUGGGGGUUUCUCUCCAAUAUUGCCCUGCUGACCACCUUGUUGUUUUUGGGAACGUGUGAGGACAGCAAAGGGGCUGGUGAUGCUGAUUCCUGCCAGGAUUGCUGCUUCUCCUUUCACAGUGGUCAUAGCGAGGAGUUUGCGUGCAGUGGGAAUGGGAAGGCUGGUAGUGUUUUUACGGGGUGGGGUUGGAGACUCUUCCUUGUGGAAACACGUUGGUCUUCUUGGGUUAUCAGCAAUGGGAGAUGCUCUGUGGUGAUCAUCCUGCUCAACGCUCGCAGAGACCAGGCACUGACACCAGAACCGCGCUGGGGCUGUCCUGCAAGCGCUGGUGGCAUCGCCUCACAGCUGGGGCUGGAGCCUCCCUCCAGGAUCGUGCCACACCAGCAAUUACAGGUUCAGUGCUGCAGCUGCCCUGCAGAAGUUGGUGGGACUCGAGAGCGGUCACUGAAGUUUUGUGGAAAUGUUCGGUGGAGAUUUUCGUGGCAGGUGUGAAAGCGAGCUGCCUUGCAGCUAACCCAUUGCAGCCUAGAGAAAACAACUGGGAGAUGUCAUCUCUGGGAGCAGAGAGAGCAGCAAAUGGGCUGUGUGAAGUACAGAGAAAAAAGAAAGAAAAACCUCUUGCAAAUGAGGUGCCAACAGAAAAUGUGCUUUGGCAGCUGGAAAGGUGUAAUGAAAGCCUAGGCAAAAUAUAGAUGCGGGUAAAAAUUGCCCCCAGUCUUGGAGACAGUACUAUUCCCAGGUCUGCAUGCAGAGCCAAGAUUUUCACGCCAUGGGCAUUGCUUUGGUCAUGCAGGCUAUUCCCCAGCCUGGGCUGGGUGUGAGACAUGCCCACAGUCUGCAGCAUGGGCUGCUCUGCUGGAGGCUCCCCACAUUCACGUGCAUCCUGCAGACAUAGCAGUCUGCAAAAGCACCCAAGGCCAGCCAAAUCUCUCUUUGUUAAACAGAAAAAAAAAUAAAAAAUAGGCACUGGUACUGCACUCAGUGAGGCCACAGGGCUGGGGGCAGAUGCUGAGCAUGAAGUGAACUUCCAGCAGGUCUGGGCAAAUUCACGUACACUAAAACCAAAUAGUCCCAGCAGCUAGGUCACAAAUUGUUGCCUGCUCAAGCUCAGAAGGCACAAGGAAGAGACUCUCCAGCAGCUUAUUUCAACCAGAGACCCUGACAGGUGAGGAUCCAAUUCUGCAGUGGUGAGAUCCACACAUCUGUGUGGGAUCCAAAUGGAGGCAAUGUAAUUGCAAAUCCAGUCAUCAGGCAGGUGCCCCAGGUCUCUUCCCUUCCCACAGUAGUGCGGGUGGCUCUACCACUGUGGUCAUUAAAAGAGUGGCAAACACGCCAGCCAGAGUGCGUCACCCUUGCUCUGCUCCUCUUGGUGCUCCCAAAGAAACUCUUGCUGCCUUCCGCAGAAGUGAAUGGCUGAGCAGAGAAGAGCUCGGGGAAGGUGCUGGCACUGGCUAUGGGAUUUUUGGCAGUGUGUCCCAGGCCAGGGAUCUGCAGUCCUUGACUACAAGCUGGAGGACAAGCCCAAGGAGUGAAUGCCUCCCCCAAAGUUACACGCUGUUCACAGGAGGAGUGAUGGUCCCCUGGCUGUGCUGAGACCUGACGGUUUUGGCUUCAUUCUUCUGUUCUGGAGCAGGCUUUUUGGGUCACCUUGAGCAAGAUACUUAACCUCCCUGUGUUUCCAUUCCCCAAACGAGAGAGAGAAAUAGCAGCACUGCCUUCCUUCCAGCAGAGCAAGUGCAUUAAAGAUUGCAAGGUGAUGGGAGCUCUGGAAGUGCCUCGAUGGAGGAGAUUCAUUUGAAUACAUUUGUUGUGCAUUACUCACUCAGCCCUGAGUUUUAAUCUUCUCCUCCUCUCCAUCAUUGUAAUCUAAAUUUCCUUGAGCUCAGUCCCAGUUUAAUCCCUGCCUCGUUUGAGUGAUUUCUCCAAUUUCUCCUGUAGCAAAUGGCGAGGCUUACAUUAGCCUUCAUCUCUCCUCUGAGUCUAUCACAGGAGAGCUGCUAACACUCCCUUUGCAGAGAGCGCCAGCAGCUUAUUUGGAAGCUUGAGCAACUUCUCCAAAUAAUUUGCACUCUGUUUUUCCAGUCCGGUGACUCAUGUUUCACAGUCUUUUCCAGACCUGCUGAACGAUCUCGUGUUAGGGGGUGGAGGUCUGCUUUCCAGUGAAGCAGAGGCAGCCUGCCCUUCCCUCCAGCAGGACGUUUCAGUGGGCACAGGCGUACGGUGAGCGGCAAACCAAGUGCCCCUGCAUUGCACGUGAUAGCUGCUCUGCCUUUCACACUGCUGAGCAUUCAGCAGGGUGCUGCGUCUUGGGUUUGGGGGGUUUGUUGCUUGCUCUCAGUCUUGGGGCUGAGACAGAGGCUCAGCUUCACAGCUGUUUUUGCAGAAAGUGCUUUUUUUACACACCCUCUGUGUCCUCCUUGCAUUUGUAGAAGUUGUUCUCCUCCAUGGGAAGUGCUGCGUUUGGGGAUUUUUUUGGUUUGUUAACUUGCAGCUUCCUUGACUGAUUUUCCAGAGGGAUUAUUUGUUGCUCUAUUAGCAAGCAAGUCCUGUCUCACAUAGGCAGGGAUGUGCAGGAGGCAUAUAAUUCCCAAUUUAUUAGCUUGGUUCACAUGAUGUUAUCGAGAAUUGAUUGUAAUGCUUAGUGGCAUUAGCGGCACCUUCCUAUCCUAACAACAGUAUUUACUGUCAGGAACACUAUUUGUGCAGCACUUGUGUUACACCACAAAUAAUUGUAUUACUUACAUCCAAUUUGUAUCAUUACACCCAACACAACUGUGCCUGCUGCGUAGUAUCAUGCUUCAUUAACGCCUGAGGCAGAACCGCUUUGCAUAAAUACCCUGCUUGGCACUUUUUGUUUGAAAUGAUAGUCCAAUAAUUAUGAAAAUGUAGAUCAAAAAUGACAUAUCCCAACUAGGAAAAAUAUAAAAAGAAAAAUUUCCCCUGUAUUAAUAGAUAAAGAGCAUCAAUUAAAAUUCAUUGCUGUGAAAAUGAUUGUUCUACAAAUUUAAGGAGAUGCUUUCCAGUUUGCUAAACCCUAGAAAUGACAGACCUUGUUUUCUUGCAUUUCUCUGCAAAGUCCCUGUAAUGUUGUGUGUCCUCAUCAAGACAAAACGCUUAAGUGAGUUUUAAAAAGGAGUGAAAAAUCAAUCGUUUAUAUGCAGCCCUACAUGACAGCUACCUGUCCUACCAAGGGCAGCACGGGCAUGGCCUUGGGGAGCCAGGACCUGCUCAGCUGUUACCAUGACCCAGCCACCGCGUCCCCUGGGCAGGCUGUGAAUAAGGCUGCAGAGAGGGGACAGCCUGUGGAAGAGUAACUUGGCCAACAGCUCCUCCAAGAAGGUCCAGGGCUCCCCAGGUUUUCUGCUUCAGGAAUAGGGCAUAGUCCUUGUAAAUUCACCUGAACGACUGCGACACUCCAGAGGAACCUGCCAAAAUCUCCUUGAAACAACAAAAAUGCACCUUGACCCACACAGCCAGAUCUUGUUUAAAGAGGUCUCGUUGUUCUGAAGGUCGUUAAUGACGUGCAAAAUGGGGUUUGAUCCCAAGACUAUCUGGUAAAUAGUGUUUAAUUUCAGAGCAUCUUAGCCUGCUAAAGAGUGGUGUAUGUUCUGGGAGCUGGGGUACUGGUUGCAAGCGAGAUGGUGGAGGCCAAGCUGGAAGAGCUACUGCUGGGCUCCCAGCAGAAGCAGAGAGAUGCUGUGUCUUAAGGGAACAUAGUCUCCCUAAGAUGCUGCUCACAGGGAGACUGUCUGUGUUUGUUUCUGCCUUUUCAAGGAAAGAAGAGCUUGCAAAAAGAAGUUAUAAUAUCGCUACUAAUAAUUUCUCUGUCCUCACAAAAACAAAUCUACAAGGUGCCAAAUUUCAGUGAACUUCUUUUGGAAGCAUUCAAGGGCACGUUAUGUCAUCUGUGCUGUGCUGGGGGAAGAAAUACAUUUCAAAGAAGUUAUUUGCAAAAUAAGAGAACAACUGAAAGCACUGUGUCACCCCAGAUCACAGGCGAAGCAUCAUACAGAAGAGAGCCUUGGGCAGGGCUCCCCUUCUUCUCAGGUUUAGUGGGCACCAACAUCUCCCUCAGGACCUGAGCACUGUCCUGGAAAGGCUGUGAAGGGGAAAAUAUCAGCAAAGGCGCUAUAGCUAAGGGUGCAUCAGCUUCAGUUCUGUUGGGACUUCCUUUAUCUUUUUCUGAAAUGUUCAGAACCAGCUAUGUUCCUCUCCUUUAUGUAACUGGCCAUCCUGUGAGAGCCCCCAGGGGCUAGAAUUUGAAAAUAACAUUCUUCUUUGUAACCAGGGCGAACUAAUAAUUUGAUGCCAGCCCCAACCUUUCAUGAAUAUUAAAGCAUCUGGUUUUGAGGACACAUUAUUUUGGGUGUGGGAUAUGCCAUUGCCUCCAUGUUAUGGCCUAUUGCUAGCAUUUGUCAGAUUUUUGUUGUUGUUGUUCUGUUUGCUCAACUUUGAAGCUUACAGAAAUGUCUUAACUUUCCAACAGGAGAAAUGGUUACAUUUUAAAAAAAAUAAAGAUUUCUCCAAAUUUCCAGCUGUCACCCUUGGCAAUCAGAGGGGGAGAGAUUCCGCCAUAAGCAGAUGAAGCCUUUUUCAGUGGUUCAGAUGCCGACUCUCCAUCCCUUCAGCAUCCAGAGCAGGCUGUCUGCAGUGGACUGGAAGUUGUCUCAUCAGACACGCGGUGCAGCCUUGUCACCUGACAUGUUAUGACAAGCUUUUAACUUUUGAGCAGCGAUGGAUGGAAACGUGUCACUGCUUUGGGAGCAGCACAGCACAGGCUGCCAAAAGCAGUUGAUGUUGCAGUGGCAUCAGCCCCUCCAAAGCAGACACCUGUCCCAGCUGUGGUGCUCCAUGAGGGAAGAAGUCAGGAUGCUUCAGGUGGCCUACACAGACCUGAGGCAAAUUAUUUGCUGCAAAUCCCCGUGUUCAUACACAUUUCUCAGGGCCAAAUGCCAACAGUCGAGUUAUUUGGGCUUUUCAGUGAUUGUGUCAUUUUGAUUGAAUAUUCCUCGGGUCCCCAGUUUUCUGACCAACAUCAAUCCCAAUCACGGCCUCAGAGUCUCCUAUCGAGGCCAAGAAGCUGGUACAAAGUUUAGAGCAAAUGGAGAAAAAGAAACAUUGGUGACAGGUCGCCUGUGGUUUGAAAGAGCAAGAGCUGUCCUUCCUGGCAGGCUGCCUUUUUCUAUCUGCAAUCUGUCCUACAAAGUGGAUGGGAGAUAACUCACUGGCAGAUCCCUCCCCUGUACUCAUAAAAGAGGUUUUAAUUUACUGGUAUUAACUUGGCACUACUGAGCAAUAUUGGAAUGACAACUCCCAUCACGCUCAAUGCACUUCCAAAACAUAUUAAUAAACUUAAAAAAGGAAAUGGAGCUGAGGAUUCAUUGUCCUUUGUAUGAAGAAAAAAAAAAAAUGCAUGUAGGUCUUCAAGUUUAACCCAUUUAAUGGUCACAAAUAUUUUGUUCAGAUGUGUCACCUUCCAUCAGAAAAAUGUAUAGUUUUCCUGAAGUUAACCUCCUAUUUUCUGAGAAAAACAAAGGAAAAUUAUCCUCUCUGUAGACAGAUAAGUAGUGGC